GCAUAGCUCAAUUGGUAGAGCACGAGACUAUUAAUUUAAGGGUCGUGGGUUUGAGCCCCACAUUGAGCA